rnacentral:rRNA from 1 species
ACGGAGGGUGCAAGCGUUAAUCGGAAUUACUGGGCGUAAAGCGCUCGUAGGCGGCUUGUUAAGUCGGAUGUGAAAGCCCCGGGCUCAACCUGGGAACUGCAUUCGAUACUGGCAAGCUAGAGUAUAGUAGAGGCAAGUGGAAUUUCGGGUGUAGCGGUGAAAUGCGUAGAUAUCCGAAGGAACAUCAGUGGCGAAGGCGACUUGCUGGACUAAUACUGACGCUGAGGAGCGAAAGCGUGGGGAGCAAACGGG